ACUCAGCUGUGAUGCUGCUGCAGUGUGAC
rnacentral:piRNA from 1 species